rnacentral:lncRNA from 1 species
GCAGCCUCCUGUGAGUUCCUGUCAUUCUUGGUUGAAGUCCUGAAUGUUGGCAGACUGUUCCCAAAGGCAAAGUAAAAUUCCCUUCAAAAAUCUCAAGAAGUAGAGAAUUUGGUGUUACUUUGGAUGCCAUGUUCUGUGAAGAGUUCCAUCCAUAUCAUACUUAAACAUCUCAAAGACUGUCUGAAAUGUGGCAAAUUGGAAUGGCAAAAAUAUCUGUCAAAUAGAUCAGUUCUUAAAGAAGAAAGAUGCUAAGCUCUGCAACC